CGCAGCGCCCCUCAGCAACCAUUCCUCAUGCGGGUCCCGACUCGUUCCUUUUAAAACGAUUCCACAGGCUGGUUCUUUUCGCAUGGCUCCUGCCAGGCACCCCCGUGGGCUGUUUGCUCCCAGGACCGGUGCUCCCAUGUGGAAAUUCUGCCCUUCCCCCUGCCCCACCCCGCCCCUCCACUGAGGGUCCGCAACCCAGACCUGCCUUGCUCCUUGUGCCGGAUAUAAAAUCGGACCGGAAGGCGGAGGGAAGCAGAGCGUAGCCGUCAUCUUCAUCUCUCGCCAGGGCCCCAAGGCGCAUUGUAUAGCCAUGUACAGUCUUGGUUGGAUAAGUGUUUUAUUCCUCAUUGGCUCCUGGCUUUGAGUGGUAGGCGCCCGAACGGCUGCCCACAGUGGCUAGGUUUGAUUUCUGUGGCUAUACUGGAGAUGGAAGUGGCUGAACUGCAGAUAAAUAUGAAACACUGAGGCGACAUUUUUACGGCUGUUUUGGUGACCUGUACCACAUUGGAAUCCUUCUCCAUCAUGAAAGGAGCCUCGCUCUUCCUAGAGGAGUCUCCCACCGAUGCUUAUUUACGUAACACUUGUGCCACUGAGACACACAGGGAAAAGCAUUGAAAAUGACCCAACUCUGCAGAAAAUAACUCCAGACCUCAUGUUCAUGAAGCUGAAUAAUGUCCGUUUUCUACUUCCCCUGCCAGUGUUAAAAAGGAUGCAUUUUAA